rnacentral:rRNA from 1 species
GAUGAACGCUGGCGGCGUGCCUAAUACAUGCAAGUAGAACGCUGAAGGAGGAGCUUGCUCUUCUGGAUGAGUUGCGAACGGGUGAGUAACGCGUAGGUAACCUGCCUGGUAGCGGGGGAUAACUAUUGGAAACGAUAGCUAAUACCGCAUGACAACAGUUAUUGCAUGAUAACUGUUUAAAAGGGGCAACUGCUCCACUACCAGAUGGACCUGCGUUGUAUUAGCUAGUUGGUGAGGUAACGGCUCACCAAGGCGACGAUACAUAGCCGACCUGAGAGGGUGAUCGGCCACACUGGGACUGAGACACGGCCCAGACUCCUACGGGAGGCAGCAGGAGGGGAUCUUCGGCAAAGGACGGAAGGCUGACCGAGCAACGCCGCGUGAGUGAAGAAGGUUGUCGGAUCGUAAAGCUCUGUUGUAAGAGAAGAACGAGUGUGAGAGUGGAAAGUUCACACUGUGACGGUAGCUGACCAGAAAGGGACGGCUAACUACGUG